rnacentral:lncRNA from 1 species
GAGGAUUAAAUAUAAACGAAAAUAAAAACUAAUUGCACAAAUUGGUCGAAUUUAACGAGACGAAUCUUUUUAGCCUAGUUAGUUCAUGAUUAAACAAUAUUUGUCAAAUACAAACGAAAGUGCUACUGCUGCCUGCCGGUACCGACACCACUAUUCUACGAACGUUCAUUGGAAAUGAAAGCAACGGUCAAUUUCCGACAGUCAUUCUCUUUCCUUUUUUAGACAGUGAUAUGUUACUUUCUAUUUAUGGACAGAACAGAAAAUUGUUUCUCUUUAUGUUUCGAUGCAUUUGAUUUUUUUUUCAUUUUUUUUGUUGGAUCACCCGUUCUUAAAUAUUUUUUUAUUUUUAAGAAGCAUGUGCUCAUAACUUAUAAAACGGCAUUAAAAAGCAUAACUUUCACGGUAAACUUAACAGUACUAACUUGAAGUGUUUCUAGACAACAUAAGUUCGAGGAAUAGCUCAACAUCGCUAACUUAGUCGUUCUCCUGCAUUCUCUUUUAUGUUUGAAGAGUCGUUUUUUCUCUUUUUUUGGAAAAUUAAACAUUUGAAAAAUGGGGGGUUUGUAAAAGGGUGGAGGGAUGAAAUAAAAGUAACUUUUACAACUUAUACUACAUAAUACAUUCCAUAGAAAUAAUGAUGCACCCUUGGAAAACCAAGAUAAAAUAAUUGCUUUUUAAACUUGUGCAGUGAUAAUCUCAACAUCUGUUUCUUCAAUUCGUAGAUCUGUAAAAUAAUUAAAUUAUAAAAUUUAAAAUAACAAAUACAAAACACAAGUUAGAUGCAUUACUGUUAAUAGUAACUUAGACAAAUAAGUUAGCUAGCAUGCAGCACAUGGAAAACACAAGAUACUUAUAUAACUUUAUACACUAACUUAAUCUCGUAGUUAGUAGCCUAUACGUAAAAAUAGGAAUUAGAUAUAUAACUCAGUAUAAUAAAUCUAAUGAACUAAGUUACGCUGCAUAGCCAUGAAAAAUGUAAUUGACUUUUCUAAAUUGAAUUUACUAUGUAUCUAGACACAACUGUAUAUGUUGACACCGUUUCUGGGCACGUGUCUAGGAUGGCAGGAUAAGGUGGCAGUACGAUGUUUACAAAGUGGGUUGCCGAUGAGGAUGGUUGCCGAUGAGGGAGAAGUUGAACGUGACUAAGUCCACAGGCAGUAAUAUGGUGCCGAUGGCUAGAUAAGAAAGUCUGCCGAUGACUAUGGCAAAGGGUCUGCCGAUGAUGCAAAGAGAGAGUCCGGAAGCUGCCGGUCGUUAUGUGGAGGAGUUUCGGUUUGUCACGAGGGAUAGUUUUGUUAUUUCCUUAAUUAUUUGCAUCGUUUUGUAUACGGAUUCCGUGUAAUUGGGAAUUCGAAUUCUAAUCGUGUCUGGUUGUAGCUCUUUGAGCAGGGU